UCUCCGUAGGUGAACCUGCGGAA
rnacentral:rRNA from 1 species